rnacentral:misc_RNA from 1 species
GUGAAUCAUCGAAUUUUUGAACGCAAAUUGCACUUUCUGGUAUUCCGGUAAGUAUGUCUGUUUGAGGCUAAGAUAAAUUAACAUCGGUGUUGUUGCUACGCGUCGUUGUGUGUGAUGCAUCGGAAUUGAGUCGUUCUUUAUCUUUGGUUUUAGUGACUUAAUAUUGUGUUCGUUAUUUGUACGUAUUUAUAUUAUUUUUUACGUUCGUAGUAUCUCAUAUUAGGUGCGGUUAUUGACAUGAUUUAGCGUC